CGCUGGAUGAGGCGUGGCAGGCCCACACCCCACGAAACGGCGUUGCGCUCUUGAGUUGGACCGCUGGUCCUUUUGUAACAUCGUACUUAGACCUUGGUCCAGAAUUUUUGCGUUUAUUACUGCUAGAGAUUAGCUGAAGCCUGAGAGAGUGGUGGAUUGCUCCGGGAACCGGUCGCGGCGUCGGCGGCGAUGGAGGCCUGCAGGAUCGACGAUUUCCCUACGGAUGUGGUUGCCAAUCUUCCAGGGGGCACCGCGGCCCGCAGAUCCCUGUCAAGAUAAGGGGAGCGAGAUUGGGAGAAGAGACGGGGAUGUGCUACGGGAUUCAUCUGUGACCGCGCACAACAACGGCGCGGAGCCCGACGACGACGGGAGCAAGGGAUAUGGUCCAACGGAGUCUGGGAGUCGACCGUCAACCGGGAUAUGCGGUCGCCCGGCUGAAUUAAGAGGUAGAGUACGUGGAUCAAUCUCUGAAUUUUUACCCCUCGCAGAGCAUUUUACCUGCUGUCCUCUUUCAGGUAGUCUCCAUGUUUGUAAAUUAGUAUGCCUGAAUUAGUAAAAUCAGGGGUCCUCUGUGUGUGUAUUACCAGAAGAGAAUAAAUUCGUCACUGCGUAAAAAAGGUUGAUUAUUUGACCAAUUGAAGAGUGUGACCGUGGAUUGCUUCUCUAUUAAACAGAAUUGGAUCGAUGUGGACCUGCGGUUGCGUGUUCUUUUAACUGCCACACAGGUAAAAAGAUUUCAGUUAGGGGUGCUUUAUCGUUCUCCAUGCCCGGCUGCGUUGCCGGCGUGGAGGAGGUUGCUGGUGGUUUGGUUGCCUUCUGCCACCUAGGUUCAUCAUGGUGCGGUCAGUCUGACCAUUCAACUUUUUUGUUUUGCAUUUACUAGAGGAGAUUACUGGAUAAAGUUUGUUGGAACAAAAAAAUGUGAGACAAUCAAAAGUGUUUGGGUCCAAAUUUGUGUCUGAAUCUAUGGGUGCGUUAUCUUUCAUGCCGAAAGAAUGCCGCCCAGGUAGGAUUGGAGCCCUCGAAAAAUCAAUAAGGGGCUUUGCGGAGCGAGACGAAGAUGAGGUUAUUAAGCUAGAGUUAGGCACCACAGCUUCGAAUGGGUUUUCAUGGAAUUUGUCAGGAUGAUGGGAGGUGUGGCACCGAAAGACCAUAUCGAAAGAUCAGUGCAGAGCUAUGGAGGUUGAAAUAAGAAGCACACUACCGGAUACAGUGCAUCGAUGGUGUAAGUGGCACGUCUUGAAGAAGUCUAAAGAAAGUUUGGGGGCUGUGUACGGGAAGAGAAAUGAAUUUAGGCAAGAGGUUCAUAGAGUGGUUAACCACAUGCUAAUAGUGGACGAGUUUGAGAAAGCGUGGGCUCACCUACUAGAGAAGUAGUACAACCUGAGGACACACACAUACAUGACGCAACUCUUUGAGACAAGGGAGAAGUGGGCUAAGCCAUGUUUGAAGGGUGUUUUCUGUGCAAAGAUGAACAGACCCAAAGGAGUGAAAGUGUGAACCAUAUGCUUAUGAACUUGUGCCACCCGGCUCUCCGAUGUAUACACUUUUGAGGCAGUACAUGAGGUUGCAGUUUGAGCGCCAAUCGAAUGAGACUUAUGAAGUGAAGAGAACUAAAAUCGCACGUGUAGUCCUAGGGACAAAUUCCUCGAUUGAGAUACAAGCCAACAAGGAAUGCACCCGUGCAACGUUCAAGCAGUUUGAAAUCCUAUACGAUUGGCGAACCAUAAGGAAAAAUGGAGCAGGGACGUAUUCCUAGUGAAAAUGAUUGACGACGGAGCAUGUUUUGAGAGAGAAUAUGUCCUCUUUGAACAUAUGGGGAUGCUCUGUCGUCAUGUUCUGAAGGUCAUGGAUAAUAUUGGGAUGAAAGAAAAUACAAAGAGACACAUAGUGAAAAGGCGGACAAAAUAUCCAAGAGAUAUUUUGCCAGAUCACUUGAAGCACUACCGGCUGGACCAGAUCAACAACACAUCCCUAACUUUUCGGCACAACCGGAUGUACAUUAGGGCGUUGGAACUGGUUCGACUUGGAGACGCAAGUGUUGAGGCAUAUCAAACUCUGAUGGGGCUUUUAGACCAGGCCAUGCCGGUGAUGGACCCUUUUGACAAAUGUCGUGACAGGCUAGGGCUUGGAAGACCGUGGAUAACAACAAUGUGGCAGAUACCGACGGGGAGUGAGCUGGGAGAAGUGUGUGAAGACGACAGAAUGUCAUGCAGCAUGAAGUUUUGGAUUAGUGGCACCAAGCAAGAACGGAAACGCUGGCAGAUCAGCAAUGCCUGAGACAAGGCGUCAUAUGACGGGAUGACCAAGAGAAGUAGGUUUUGCAGCAUUUGCAAAUCCCAGUGCCACAAAAGAACAACUUCACCGGAGAGAGGGGAUAUUCCGCAACCGAGGAAGAAAUCCAAAUGCAGUAAAUGCAGUGGUGAAGGGCAUAGGAAGAAUACUUACGAACGGCAAGCAAGGGAGAUGAAGUGAGUUGAAAGCUGGUAGUGUCAAGUGUGCUAAUUAAGUUUUUAGUUUGAAAACCGACGUGUGGCUGUGUUUCAGCUUGUGGUUAUGGUGUUUUUUUUUUCUUUCUAAUUGUGCUAUAGGAAACUGACAUGUCAAACUGCUCCUUCUUGUUGGCUGGUGCUGUGUCUGAAGCAUGGAUGGUUGGUGUAGCUUGUAGCCUAUGAAUUCAAAGGUUGAAUGAUCAAAGCUGUUGGACUGGUGAAGUCCCCAGCGCAAUAAAUUUCUCUAUUCUGGCUUCCA